rnacentral:lncRNA from 1 species
UAGUGUGAAUGAUUAAUAUUCCAAUUUUAGGUUCGGCGUGUAAUGUAAAAAUAAGGAUGCUAAUUCUGAGACAACGAAAUUCUACAAUUUUAUCUGAUUCAAAAAGUUAGGUAACGUUUAUCCUUUGAGACAAAAAAAAAGGAAUCUCUUGCGAAGUCACUAGGACAAGAAGUGAAACCAGACAAAAGUUGUCCCCUUGAUUUCAUUUGCACCUGUUUAUUUUGG